UACGAAGGUCCCAAGCGUUGUUCGGAAUAACUGGGCGUAAAGCGUGUGUAGGCUGCGCGGAAAGUCAAAUGUGAAAGCCAAGGGCUCAACCCUUGAACUGCAUUCGAUACUCCCGUGCUAGAGUAAUGGAGAGGUAAGUGGAAUUCCUGGUGUAGCAGUGAAAUGCGUGGAUAUCAGGAGGAACAUCAAUGGCGAAGGCAACUUACUGGACAUUUACUGACGCUCAGACACGAAGGCUAGGGGAGCGAAAGGG
rnacentral:rRNA from 1 species